rnacentral:lncRNA from 1 species
GCAAGCUUCAGUCAUCUCUCUCCCUCUUCAUAUCGCUCCACCGAACCCUGAGCCUCUCACUCUUAUAUACUCUCAGCCCCCCUCCACCUCACCAGGCUUCAGCCAGUCAGGGCGGCAGGGGCGUGUCUCCACCAAAUAUGGACUUGUUUACACCACCAGCUCUGCAGGUGCCAUCUUUCAGGCCCAGGCUGGCGUGGAAAAGACUCUCUGGGGUCAGUGAGCAGGACAGAACUCCCACGUCUGAGGCCUCUCUCUGUGGACCUUGUGAGGUAAAGCAUGACCCUCUUGUCUUGGGACACUGAUAUUGGGAUAAUUUUGUGAAUGAAUGCCUGAGCAGCAUGUUUUGUUUGUUUGUUUUUGUUUGUUUGUUUGCUUUGUUUUUUUUUGGGGGGGGGGACAGGGUUUCUCUGUAUAGCCUGGAACUCACUUUGUAGACCAGGCUGGCCUUGAACUCAGAAAUCUGCCUGCCUCUGCCUCUCUGCCUCCUGCCUCCUGCCUCCUGCCUCC